AGUAGACAUAGUGUAUUGACUUAGUGCAUUAUUGUAUUUUGAAAGUGAAUGCUGGAGUUUAGUUUUCAAUGUGUGAAUUUGAGCAUGAAAUGAACUGUUUUGUCAAUUGCGUGUUGUAGGUGUGUUGGUGCGUUAAGCGUUUAGGAAAGUUGUUAA